rnacentral:rRNA from 1 species
GACGAACGCUGGCGGCGUGCUUAACACAUGCAAGUCGAACGGAAAGGCCCUGCUUUUGUGGGGUGCUCGAGUGGCGAACGGGUGAGUAACACGUGAGUAACCUGCCCUUGACUUUGGGAUAACUUCAGGAAACUGGGGCUAAUACCGGAUAGGAGCUCCUGCUGCAUGGUGGGGGUUGGAAAGUUUCGGCGGUUGGGGAUGGACUCGCGGCUUAUCAGCUUGUUGGUGGGGUAGUGGCUUACCAAGGCUUUGACGGGUAGCCGGCCUGAGAGGGUGACCGGCCACAUUGGGACUGAGAUACGGACCAGACUCCUACGGGAGGCAGCAGUGGGGAAUAUUGCACAAUGGGCGGAAGCCUGAUGCAGCAACGCCGCGUGCGGGAUGACGGCCUUCGGGUUGUAAACCGCUUUCGCCUGUGACGAAGCGUGAGUGACGGUAAUGUGUAAAGAAGCACCGGCUAACUACGUG